CUUAAAACUAACUACAUGCUUAUCAGGCUAAGCCCCACACUACAGCCCAUCGGAUGGUAGUUAUGCAUCCUCUGUAUGUGUGGAAAUCAGUAGAGAUGCUUUCUAAUACAAUGUUAUUAGAAAGAGGGGUAGAUGGCUAAUAACCAAGA